GUCUCAGUAGCAUAGUGGUUAGUGCACAGCCCCGGAUACGGUGAGACGCAGGUUCGAAUCCCGCCUAAGAUG
rnacentral:tRNA from 1 species